CGCGGCCGCCCGCCCCUCCCUCGGGGCUGGCUCGGCGGAGGAGACUCCCGCCCUCGGCCCUCCACGCGGCUCCGACCCAACUCUGCCCGAACUCCGAGAGCUGGGCAUGGCCCCGCCAUGCGGAACGUUUUGCUGCCGAGGGCCCCGGCUGGUCUCCCCGCGGGUCACCUGGGUCCCGCCCCGCACCCCAUCCCGCACCCAGUCUUCGGGAGGCCCGGUCGGGCUGCCCUUGGGGAGGUGACAACUGACGCGAACAGUUGAGAGGCCUGGCCACACACCUGCGUGGAUGUGGAUGGAAGCAUGAUUCCCACUGGACCUCGCCUCAGAGAGUUUCAGCUGGACCUUAUGGAAAAGUCACAGCUAGGAGAUAGCUGGGGAGCUGCGAAGGGGUCUGUGUCCAGCUGGCAGUGUUUGCUGAUGAACUGAACGUGGCUGUGACAGACAGGAGUCAAGGACGCCUCCAGUUUCCAGCCUGAACGCGUCCAAGAAUGACCCCAGAAGUCAGAGCUGCAAGCCUCCCCUCACCUCCACGCCUUAACCCCACGCACAGCUCCCUGAGGUCCAGAUGUUUUAUUUCUCCUGAUCUUGGGAGAACUUUACCACGGGAAGUUUGCUCUGCAGAGAACUUGGCCGCACGCGUGGAGCCCUGCGGUCUGUCCUUCGCCCAGGAUGCCCGCGUGGACAAAGACUGCCCUGGCCACCUUGCUCCCCGCCGUGAGAGCGGCGGCACUGGAAUAGCAGCAUGAAUCACCUGAACCGUGACGCCCAGGACGCCUUCUGUGGAGCUGCUGCUGGUGUCCGGGGAGCCGGGGAAGGGGACCCUGCCCCCUGCCCACCCAGGGGCUGCGAGUUCGCCAGCAACCUGGAGAAGCCAGUCGGUGGGAAUGAUGAGAGCGAACAUUUCUCACUGUUCAGACGUGGCUUUACCAUGACACUGAUUCAGCUUAAGCUUUAGGGUCUCCCGUCUGCAUCCCUUCUGCAGCGCCAUACCUCGUGUUUUAAUUGGCAUUUUUCUUUUCUGGAAGAAGGCUCACAUUUUUAUAAGUGUCGGGUCUGACAGGA